rnacentral:SRP_RNA from 14 species
GAAGGCCAUUGGCGCCUUGGGCCUCUGCCGUUGGGCGGCAUGAACCUCGGCAGGGCCGGCGGAGGCGACGCAGCCAGUGCCGCGAGCC